GAUGAACGCUAGCUACAGGCUUAACACAUGCAAGUCGAGGGACCGGCGCACGGGUGAGUAACACGUAUCCAACCUGCCCUUUACUCGGGGAUAGCCUUUCGAAAGAAAGAUUAAUACCCGAUAUAAAGGAUGGGGAUGCGUUCCAUUCGGUUGUUGGUGAGGUACCGGCCCACCAAGCCUGCGAUGGAGAGGGGUUCUGCGAGGAAGGUCCCCCACAGUGGAACUGAGACACGGUCCAAACUCCUACGGGAGGCAGAAGGGAGGAAUAUUGGUCAAUGGGCGGUAGCCUGAACCAGCCAAGUAGCGUGAAGGAUGAAGGCUUAUGGGUCGUAAACUUCUUUUAUAUAAGAAUAUGUAUUAUAUGAAUAAGGAGCGGCUAACUCCGUGCCAGCCGCCGCGGUAAUAC
rnacentral:rRNA from 1 species